GGCGCGCGCCGCCGUGAGGGCGCCGCGGCGGCUUCCGGUUCCGCCGGGCGCGGCGGCCGCGGCGCUUCCCGGUCAAAGUAACAUCCAGUCAGGCUUUGCAUGGCAUGAGGCAGAAACAGGAUUUUCUAGCAUGCUGUGAAAUCUGAUCUCUGGAACUCUCAGUGAAGACAUCUACUUGAUACUUGCAAUGUAAAUUAGC
rnacentral:lncRNA from 1 species